AUUGAACGCUGGCGGCAGGCCUAACACAUGCAAGUCGAACGAGUGGCGGACGGGUGAGUAAUGUCUGGGAAACUGCCCGAUGGAGGGGGAUAACUACUGGAAACGGUAGCUAAUACCGCAUACCAUCGGAUGUGCCCAGAUGGGAUUAGCUAGUAGGUGGGGUAACGGCUCACCUAGGCGACGAUCCCUAGCUGGUCUGAGAGUAUGACCAGCCACACUGGAAACUGUAAAAGGGCCAGACUCCUACGGGAGGCAGCAGUGGGGAAUGUUGCACAAUGGGGGAAAGCCUGAUGCAGCCAUGCCGCGUGUAUGAAGAAGGCCGUCGGGUUGUAAAGUACUUUCAGCGAGGAGGCGUUACUCGCAGAAGAAGCACCGGCUAACUCCGUGCCAGCAGCCGCGGUAAUUC
rnacentral:rRNA from 1 species